rnacentral:ncRNA from 1 species
CAUUGAAUGGAUUAACGAGAUUCGCGCAACUGGGUCCCUACUACUAUCUAGCGAAAACCACAGCCAAGGAACGGGCUUGGCAGAAUCAGGGCGGGGAAAUGAAGACCCUGUUGAGCUUGACUCUAGUCCGACUUUGUGAAAGAGACAUGAGAGGUGUAGUAUAGGUGGGAGCGUCAGCGACUUUGAAAUACCACUACUUUUGAUCGUUUUCUUUACUUAUUCAGUGAAGCGGGAGCGGCCUUCACGGGCCUCGUUUCUGGUGUUAAACGGCUGGCGCCUCGCGGCCGGCGCCGUGACCUGCUCUGAAGACAGUGUCAGGCGGGGAGUUUGACUGGGGCGGUACAUCUGUCAAGAAGGUAACGCAGGUGUCGCCAAGAUGAGCUCAGUCAGGACAGAAACCUGGCGUAGAGCAAAAAGGGCAAAAGCUCAAUUUGAUUUUGAUUUUCAGUACGAAUACAGACCGUGAAAGCGCGGCCUAUCGAUCCCUUUGAUUAAUCAGAGUUUGAUGCAAGGGGUGUCAGAAAAGUUACCACAGGGAUACUGGCUUGUGGCGGCCAAGCGUUCAUAGCGACGUGUCGCUUUUUGAUCCUUCGAUGUCGGCUCUUUCCUAUCAUUGUGAAGCAAGAAUUCACCAAGCGUUGGAUUGUUCACCCACCAAUAGGGAACGUGAGCUGGGUUUAGACGCGUCGUGAGAGACAGGUUAGUUUUACCCUACUGAUGUCUUGUCGUUGCUAUGGUAAUCCUGUAGUACGAGAGGAACCGCAGGUUCAGACAUUUGGGUUUAUGUGCUUGGUCGAAAGACCAAUGGUGCGAAGCUACCAUCUGAGGGAUUAAGACUGAAAGCCUCUUAAGUCUGAAUCCCGCCAGAAAUGCCAACGAUACUAUAUCGGUGGCCCGCUACGCGGGAGGCAACGAUAUACUCGGCCCGAAAUCCGAUUUCGGCGGCCGAGACUGGCUAAAGCCACUGCGAUACUGGCCACACUCCGCUGUCUUGAAAUUUGGCAGUUGGAGGCACAGACACGAUACCACUUGAUUGAGACGUAAGGGUUCUAUAUCGUUUGUGUACGCAAGACUCGACUUAGAUCUCGUCGGGGUGCCGUACUUAGUUGAGCAGUUCUUCACUGCGAUCUAUUGAGGCUAAGCCUUUUGACGGGGAGAUAUGU